UACGCCGCUACACGGGAGAACCAGACUAAGAGAAUGCUGGGAAGAAGAAGCAGGAGGGGGCCUCGAGAGACGCCAUGAGAUGGAGAGCAAGCAGAAUGGAAAUUGUGAAGAAACCUUGUACCAUGGGGAGGGGAGGCCUAUUGGACCACGGAUUCGGCACAGACAACACAGAAACACCUGCUAUCACAGAAAGAUUCUUUAUUAAGCGGUGAAGAAACAGCAGGUGCCCUUGCAGCCCCAGUACUAGGCUGAGGAAAAACGGAUUUGGCCACUGCAGGCGCUGAAAGAGAGACCGAUAGCCUAGGCUGCCUGCCCUGUGGUAGAAACUGACCCGCAGGGCAGCCGCCUGUGCCGAAGGAGGGACGGACAAGGCGGCCAUGCGUGGUCCGGCUGAGGGGCACGGGUCUGGAGCUGGCGGGCAGUGAGCCAGAGUGACCCCUAGCCGGCUUCACUCCUCACGUUCACGUCUUGGGCCUCCCACGGCAUUCUCUCUCUGUUCACAGCGUUCUCCCAGCUUGACCUUCUGUGUACGAUCCCGGUUUCUACAUCAUCAUCAAGUUUUACUGGGCGAGGGACUCAGAGAACCCCAAAGGCAUGCGACCAGAAGCUUUUUUUCCCCAGGCUUUCUGGAAGGUUAUGUGAUUUUAUUGUAUUUUAUAUUUUAUUUUAUUUUGAGACAGGAUUUCUCUA